UUUUCUCAUUACACUAAACGUUGAAUUGAGAAUACAACAUCGUAUCACGCACGUGAUUAUUUCUCCCCUGUUUUCAGGUACUUUAUUGAUGAUAAAAUAGUAAUUUAAAUGUUAUAACUCGCUAACAUGUCAAGAGUGUUUAAGGUGUGUCUUAGUAACGUCUUGAGGAAGUUAGAGUUAAGUUUGAAGAGAGUAAUAUUAGCCCUGCUCGGUUGAAGUGAAGAAUAGCAUUGUACUCAGAGUAGCUGCCAUUUUAUGUCGAUUGUGAAUGAACAUAUACGUUGUUAAUAAGAUAUGUUGCUGUGUUGGUUGUAUAAUGGGUUUUCUGUUGUUUUGUAAUGUGUUACUUUUGUGAAAUGAUUACACUAAACGUUGAAUUGAGAAUACAACACCGUAUCACGCUCGUGAUUAUUUCUCCCCUGUUUUCAGGGGCGUAACAUCAUCAUUUGAAAUUAAACAACAAAAAUGUAAAUGAUCAUUGUUUUACGCUUCGAAAACACCGACUGCGUUGUUGCAUCCCUGCUGCAUAACAUUUUGCGCAGCUAGGCAAUUAUACUGAUGCAGGUACCUUUUGCAAAUAGUCGCAUGCAGUUGGACACAUGGAGGAGAGAAUAAUUUUCGCAGUAUCCUCAAAACCGUGUCUUUUUGACACAACUGCUGACAGCUACAGGGACAUAAACACAAAAAAUGCUGCUUGGAGUGGCCACGAUAGUAGGAUUGCCAGGUCAGUUUAGUAGUGAGCUUGUGCUAGAUGUGGCUAGUUAGCUAGCUAGCUAACCUAGCCAAUGAGGUGUGUGUGAAAGAAAUAGUCAAAUAAAUUAUGCUAGUUACUACCCCUGAUAACUUUACAAAAUAAUCAUGUUUGAAAGAGUGAGAGUGUGUAUGCUAUAUUAAUAGAAAUGGUAGAUACUACUGUACCCCUGAUAAUUUGGUCAGAUAACCGUGUGUGUGUCUGUGUACAGUAGGUGACAUGUCAAUGAUAGCUAUCUAAUAACUAUAGUUAUGCUAGGUAAUGGUUUGGCUUAUCAUGUUCAUGUCUAUGUAGAAGAAGACUGUAGGAGGAAGUGGAGAGGACUCAGGGACAGGUAUCAGAGAGAGAGAAGGGUAGAGAAAGAGAAGAGGUCUGGGUCAGCAGCUUCAGGCCAGCAGCCUUGGCGCUUCUGCCACAUUCUUUCUUUUCUGGAUCCAUUUAUUGUGCCUAGGGCAACGAGUGGCAAUUUUACAGCCAGACCCUCUACUACGUCAUCCACAAGUGUUGUUGCCACCGGUGCAUCAAGACCCUCAACGUCACCUACAAAUGCGACCAUCACCUCCACUGGUGGAGUGAGACCCUCUACAACAUCAUCCACGAGUAUGACCACUACCGGUGCAGCCAUGGAAGAUGAUGAAAUGGAGGAAGCACCUCUGGAUCUAGGACCACCUGAGAUUAUUAUGAACCUCACGGAAGUGACCACCUCGUUGAACAGGAUGCGGCCGUGGAGAGAAACAGAGAGAAACUAAGAGGAACAACGUCACACCAGGCGUCAUCGGAGGUACCAGCCCCCAGAUCCACUCAACUCAUUUCAGCAGAGGCUCCUCCAAGCCGUCGAGAGGGAUGCAGCCCAACCUGAUGCUCACAGGAAGGAGGAUGAAGAGACCCUCUUUGCCAUGAGCCUGGUGCCAACACUGAAGAGGCUGCCUCAGCAAAGAAAAGCAGCAGUCAAGGUUAAAAUGGAUCAACUGCUUUUCGAAGCCGAGUUCAAUGAAAUGGAGUCAAUUUAGCUGACCAGCUCACAGGAAGGACAGGAAGAGGAGAGGAGUUGUCUGGUUGUUGUUUUGACCUCCCUCAUUGUACCUUUCUUUUCACACACGUCAGUUCCGUUUAAAUUCAGUCAAUUCAUAAAGUAAUUUGUUUAUAAAGUCUUAGGAUAGCAUUCAUUAUUAGUGUUACAUAGAUUUCUGAAUUGAAACUCAUACGGAGUUUUCACAGAUGCUCUUGGUCUCUUACGAGACUAUAGGUCAAUAUAUUUCUUUAAUUUAAAACCACUUGAAAACCAGGGUGUUGAAACUUUUUGUGAAGUUAUGUUCCAUCGACUGGUCCGUGACGUCCAGGGGUCAUUUGUUUGUUUAGCUGUGUUAUGGCUACAUAUUAUUCCCUUUUUCUCAGAGACAGAGACACACACACACCUCUUCGUACCUCAGAUCUCCAGUGCCCUGCCCUCUCUCUUUAUGGCCAUGUCUGAAUUUCCUCUACUAUGUCUAGGCUUUAUGAGUAGUCCCUGUAUCGGUCUGCAGUUGUGCCAAAAAUACAUGCUCUUGCUGUUCUCUUACAGAUUACAGGCUACACAUUCAUUAAAAAAAAAUGUUUUUAAUUACAUGCACGCACACACCUCUUUCACUAGUUUUAUUUUUAAAAACAUUUUUACAACACACAUACCUGUCAUGUUCUUUCCUGUACUUGAAUACUUAUUAAAUUAUAAUGUUUUCAUAGUCA